rnacentral:tmRNA from 1 species
GGGGAUGAAAGGCUUUGACGAAGCAAUAACAAAAAAAACCGCAAGAGGAGUUGGAAAACUCCUAAAAAUUCCAAAAAUAAUAAGCGCCAACUUUAAUAGCGCUCCGGCUUUCGCUUACGCUUAAGCCGGCACUCUCCGGCUGACGCCUGGAGGCCGAAAAGAGUGUAAUAAAACAGGAUAAAAUCUGAAAUUUGCCUAAUUUCAGAUUUGAAUAAAAACAAGGCGAAGGAAUUGAGAUUUUUCGUCCCGAUUAUAUCUCUUUAUCCUAAUAAACAUCGGGGCUAAUCUUGUAGAAAUUUUUUUUGAAACUGUUUCGGACGCGGGU